rnacentral:rRNA from 1 species
GCAUAACGCGAAGAACCUUACCAGGACUUGACAUCCUCUGCAUUACUCGUAACUGAGGAAACCCUUCGGGGCAGAGAGACAGGUGGUGCAUGGUUGUCGUCAGCUCGUGUCGUGAGAUGUUGGGUUAAGUCCCGCAACGAGCGCAACCCUUAUCAUUAGUUGCUAACAGUAAGAUGAGCACUCUAAUGAGACUGCCGAGGAUAACUCGGAGGAAGGUGGGGAUGACGUCAAAUCAUCAUGCCCCUUAUGUUCUGGGCUACACACGUGCUACAAUGGGUAGAACAACGGGAAGCAAGCUAGUGAUAGCAAGCAAAUACCCUAAAAACUACUCUCAGUUCGGAUUGUAGGCUGCAACUCGCCUACAUGAAGUUGGAGUUGCUAGUAAUCGCGAAUCAGAAUGUCGCGGUGAAUACGUUCCCGGGUCUUGUACACACCG